AGACCGGGUCGGGCCGGGCUCUGGGGCCCAGCUGCAUGGUGUCUGGUGCUUUUGUUCGACAGCCGCCUGGGUGUGGCCCCUCGGCCACACGUGGGACAUUUUUAACAGGGAAGCCGUCAUGCCUUCUACUUCUUAUGAGGUUUCUGAGUCAGCACCUUGCUGUCAUCAGAGAACACGAAGGAAGGGCCAAGGAUGUUCCAGGAAGCCAUUCCAAAGUGAUUGCUCGGUUUCCCUUUCCACGACCUGCAGAUCCCAACACUCCAGGACGGUGCAGGACAUCAAUCUCAAGGUAACUGGUCACGGAGGUGAGAAUCUUACUGAAAAAUCAGAAUGUUAACCCUGGACGUUUCCUGAAAGAUGAGCUAGACGGUUUUGAAACUGGAUUGGAAACCCCAAGUGUAGCUCAGGGCUACUGGUCUUCGAAGUACCAGGCUGGGGAUGUCGGGGAGGCAGGUGCCCGGUGCCUGCCUGCUGGCGAGGAUGACUAGGAGCCCUUUCUCAAGGCUUCGGCCCACCUGGGACUUGGGCAGUGUAGUGCCCAGCGUCGGCCGCCGGAGGGAGCUCUAACCUGAGACUUGGCCGCUGGAGGGCUGGCUCAGUGGACCACAGCGGGGAAAACAGGGCAAGGGGUUGAGCGCCACCAGGAGCCAUUCCACAGUGACCAUGGAGGAACAGAGACUGCACGGUGGGGGUUGUGAGUGGAGGGAAAGCGUCCACUGCCCAACGACCUGGUCUCCUCAGCAUCAGACUUACACAGCAGCUCCCAUCCACCUUGACCUUAGGCUCAGUGCACCUGCAGCCCUACUGCCUGCCCUCGGCCUCACUGCCCUCAUCUGGCAGCUUCUGUGGGCUCUCGGGGCCGGAGAGGUCAUGAAGAAAUAGACCGAACGGCCCAGGCGUGGUCGGAGUCCAUACAGAGCAGGCCCCUCUGCACUGGGAGUCACAGGUUUCCGGUGCAGCGUCACAGAGCAGCCCUGCCCCAGUUCCCAGUGGUGACUCCUCUGGCGUUCAGCACAUGAGACAGAAGACCUGCCCUGGGGAGGUGCAAAACAGGGGCAAUGCUAACGCCAUCUGCGCUUCCUGGCCCUGCAGGUGUUACCACUGUCCCCCCAGAAUGACUGUGAGCUUCCGGGCGUGGGGACCACACCUUGGGUUUCCUCUGGCUCCUCCACAGGGCCUGCUGUGGCGCUGAAUCUAGAGGCAUGCUUGGUGAACAUCCCCUGAUGAAGAUGUGGGCGUGUCCCUUCUUACAGAGCACACCUGGGAGAAAGCAGGAACUGGCGGGAGCGUGCCAGCCCCGCACUGACGGCCGUCGUUUCAUCUUUUUCUGAUCCGAGAGUACCAUAGAACAGUUACCUUAGUUAAAUUUCUAUCAGUGGUUCUCAACCUGGCUGGAUUUGGCCCUCAGGGGGCAUUUGGCAAUGUCUGGAGACUUUCGCUGUUGCCGUCACUGGGGGAAGGAGUAUUAACGGUGGGUAGAGGCCAGGGAUGCUGCUGAGUGUCCUACAGUGCACGGGGCGGUCCCCCGCAGCAGGGAAUUAUCAGGCCCCAAAUGUCGGUAGUGCUGAGGUUGGGAAACCCUGAGUCACACUUUGACAGGUUCUCAGGCUGAUGCUGGGACUUGAUUUGCUUACGUGCCCCUAUCCACUACGGGAGGCACAAACGGAAGAUCCGAGGAACGUUCCCUAGCUCCCAAGGAGCCAGGACCGGAACAUGGACAGAAGCAUGCACGGCCUUGUAUGCUGUGUCUGCCUGGGAGGGCAGCUCUGUGGCAGAAGGCUGCUCACCUGGCCACAGGAAGGACUGGGGAAGCCCACACUGCUCCAGCUCACAUCCUCACGGGACCUGAAGGCUGGAGAGGGAAUUCCAGGAGUCCAGGUACAUCCUGUCUGGUCCCAAGAUCUCUGAAGGGUUCCCGGGGGACAGUCUGUUUCCGGAAGCAGCUGUGAAGUCCUCCAGCUUCCUUAGUGAGCUGGGGAGGGGGGUGCUGCCGUGACUCUGUAAGAGGUUGACUCUUGGAAGCACGAAGAAGGCUCCAGAGACAGCUCUUGCCUUGUUUAGUUUGAUUUGAUGUUGUUUUUUUGAAUUAUUAAACACAAGUCAGUAAGAAA
ensembl:lncRNA